GGGAGAUUAGAGAGGCACAUGACAUUCCCGUGGGGAUUUGGUACCUGUCCUGCCUGGGUAGUCUGAUGAAGACAUGAAGUGUUUAGGUCUAAAAGGAAAUGGAAGGGCGUGUAGAGGAGAGACUGUGUGGGAAGUUGAGGGUUGCCUGUGGUUUGCCGAGCUACAACUUCAGGGAUGUCUUCACAUGAAGGAGAGUCACACACCGCCUCCUUCAAAUCUCCUCAGGCGUCUGCUGAAGACUGUAGUCAUGGGCCAGGUCUUGUCCCUGCUGAUCUGUGGGACAGCAGUGAGCUGCCAGUACCUGGCCAAUGCCAGGAUAGAGACGCCCAUGCUGCAGAGUUUCCUCAACUACGUCCUGCUGCUGCUCGUCUACACGACCAUCCUCAUCACACGAAAAGGUGAAAGAAACAUCGUACAAAUUUUAAAAACCAAGUGGUGGAAGUAUUUGGUGAUGGGUCUGGCAGAUGUGGAGGCAAACUACGCAGUUGUGAAGGCCUACCAGUUCACCACCCUGACAAGUAUCCAGCUGCUGGACUGCUUUGUGAUCCCAGUGUUGAUGCUGCUCUCCUGGUCCUUCCUGAAGACUCGCUACAGGCUGGUCCACUUUGUAGCUGUAUUAGUGUGUUUGUUGGGGGUGGGAGCCAUGGUAGGGGCCGACAUUCUGGCCGGAAGACACCAGGGGUCCAGUAAGGACACCAGUGAUGUUGUGCUGGGUGACGGUUUGGUCCUACUCAGUGCCGUCCUCUAUGCUGUAUCCAACAUGUGCCAGGAGCACACCGUGAAGAACUUGAGCCGAGUCGAGUUCCUGGGCAUGAUGGGCCUCUUUGGGACCCUCACCAGUGGCAUACAGCUGGCUGUACUGGAAACCCACGCAGUAGCGGCAAUAACGUGGGACCUUCGCGUUUCCAUGCUGUUUGCAGUCUAUGCCUUGUGUAUGUAUGCACUGUACAGCUUCAUGCCCGUAGUCGUGAAAAUGACCAGCGCUACUGCGGUCAACCUCUCCCUGCUCACCGCCGACCUCUUCAGCCUCUUCUGCGGCCUCUUCCUCUUCCACUACACAUUUUCAGCCCUGUACAUCAUCUCGUUUGUCCUCAUCACGGUGGGCUUUAUCAUGUUCAACGCCGUUCCCACGUACGCCGCUUUACCUGAGGACGGGUCGGCAGAGGUGUUUGUCGAUCAGCCAGCUGAGAGCUCCUCAGACCACCUGCUGGCAGCAGACAGAGACACUCAGAGAACUGAGGCGCUCACUGCCGUUGCGUCACUAUGACUGAAACUGAGUGAAGACAGACGAUAAAGGCAGCUAGACUGCAGAACUCGGAGGUCUUCCUGGGUGAAGAGAUUUUAUUUUAUUUAUGCAGAUUACACAAAAACUACUGCACCGAUUUGCACCAAACUUGUUGGAGGGAUGGGGCUGGGCCCAGGGGAAGGACCCAGAAGCUUUUGGGGAAGAUCUGGAUAGAUUUCCAUGAAUUUGAAUUUUUUCCUGUGAAGUCUGGUGUAUGUUGUCUAUGUUGGCCUUGGUGGAGGUCUGCGAUCUCUGAGUGUAUUUUCUAGUUUUACAUAGAGCGACGACUACAAGGCUGCCUCAGUGCUGCACUAGAUGAGUGUGCUAUUCAUUUAGCCAAGCACAAAUGUAAUGUGUGUUUAUUCUACAUAUUACAGGGACUAAUUUAACGAGGGUGCAUGUACAUAGAGCAAGUAAUAAAUUGAAAAUAUGACGGAUAUGAUUUCACAUGGGACACAACAAAGUAUAUUAGGCUAUUUAUUCAGUACAGGCAGAAUAAUACAUAAUAUUUCUACUUGGACAAAAUAAUUUUAACCAAAGCACACUAACUAGUUUCUUCCAGUUUCGACCCCAUUUCACGGUCUUCAUCAGUGGAUGGUGUAAAUUCCAUUCACUAGCACUUGUCACUUCAGCAGAGUUAUUAUUUAACUCAUGCAGUUGUAUGCUAAAGUGAGUGGGCAGAAUCAUAUUUUUUUAAAUAUUUUUUUCAGACAUUAAAUAAGAGCUGUUCUUCAAAUGUUAAUGCAUUGUUACUUUUUAUUUCACGAACUAAACAAAAUGGAAAAGAAACAGUAAAUGUGGCACAUGCAGCGGUUUGGGCAAACCACUAAGUCGGUACACAGGCUGCGAGAUGUGAUAUGUGCCAAAUUUCGAACAGGACACUAGUUUUUCGUUCUACCUGAGUAACAUUAAAUCUUGUUUUCUGUUACAAUUACACCCAUCCAACGGAUAUUUUCCACUUUAUAUCUGGCGAAGAAAACUGCUUACUAAAUGGUGAGUUUGUAUUUUGAACAUCCUUCCUGUAACGAGUUAUAUGAAUGCAGAUCUGCCGCUUACUGUAUGCUUUUUUGUUUUUUUUCACACCAUUCUGAGUAAACUCCAUUAGUAGUUUCAGAAACACUCAAACCAGCCCAUCCGGCACCGAUCAUGCCGCAGUCAAAG